AGGAUAAUAGUUAAAAUUUAUAACGUUUAAGUUGCAUUUAAAAAUUAUUGCAUUACAAUUUAUCUUA
rnacentral:tRNA from 1 species